GGUGAGCCUGAGCUUGUUUGGCCCGUAAUUCAUUAGGUCCACAUCCAGGCAGUUGUUCCACCCUUGCUGUUCGGUCACCUGAUGACCUCUGAUAAUGCCUUCUAGUCCUUGUUGAAAUUGGCCAUUUUGAAACUGGACCAUAUGCUUGACAACUAAAUGAGGUAGCCAGUGGGCUUGGCUGGGUGAUGCUCAAGCUGGAGCCUGGCUGGACUUGGCCGCGUUGUGAACUGGGCUCCAUCUGUCCCGCUCCGUGUUCCUGUGACCCGAGCACAAGAAGGCAAAGCUGCCGUCCACGCACACAGGUCACGCCUCUGCAUCACAGUGGCUGAUAGGCCACUGCCGAGCCCAGCCUCAGCGAGAUGGGGCAGUUGGCGCUGCUUGUCGGAGAAGAAUUUGAGUUCAGUUCACAAUGAACUUAGCCCUGAAGUGAUGAGCCGCACCAUCUUGUCAUUGUUUUAGGUUUAUCCGUGGACAUGCCUCGCAGUCUUUGCUCUCUGCCUGCUCCUUCUCUUCUUGUGGUUCCCCUGCUGGUGUAGGAGGUUCAGAUAUUAAAAAGGGGGUUGCAGAAAUGAA